rnacentral:rRNA from 1 species
GGGUGCGAUCAUACCACCACUAAUGCACCGAAUCCCAUCAGAACUCCGCUGUUAGAUCCCAUCAGAACUCUGCAGUGAAGCGUGCUUGGGCGAGAGUAGUAUUAGGAUGGGUGACCUCCCGGGAAGUCCUCGUGUUGCACCCC